rnacentral:rRNA from 1 species
UACGUAGGGCGCGAGCGUUAAUCGGAAUUACUGGGCGUAAAGUGUGCGCAGGCGGCCGAGCAAGUCGGGUGUGAAAGCCCCGAGCUUAACUUGGGAACUGCGCUCGAAACUACUUGGCUAGAGUGUGGCAGAGGGAGGUGGAAUUCCACGUGUAGCGGUGAAAUGCGUAGAGAUGUGGAGGAACACCGAUGGCGAAGGCAGCCUCCUGGGCCAACACUGACGCUCAUGCACGAAAGCGUGGGGAGCAAACAGG